UACGUAGGGGGCAAGCGUUGUCCGGAAUCAUUGGGCGUAAAGAGCGCGUAGGCGGCCCUGUAAGUCCGCUGUGAAAGUCAAGGGCUCAACCCUCGAAUGCCGGUGGAUACUGUCGGGCUAGAGUGCGGAAGAGGCGAGUGGAAUUCCUGGUGUAGCGGUGAAAUGCGCAGAUAUCAGGAGGAACACCGAUUGCGAAGGCAGCUCGCUGGGACGUAACUGACGCUGGAGACGCGAAAGCGUGGGGAGCAAACAGG
rnacentral:rRNA from 1 species